CUUCCAUCCCUCACCUCCUUCGCCAUGCCGCAGCCACCACCUCCGGCGGCUGGAGCCUGACCUAGAUGCGAUGGACGACCUCAAUCCCACGCCGCCAGUGGAUUUGGAGCGCUGGCCCUCACCGUCGCGGAGCGGUGGCACAAGGCGGUGGAUAUGCAACCGCUCCCCCAAUCCCCGCCGGCAUUUAGCGCCCCUCCCUCGCUCAUCCACGCGCACGUAGCCGUUGCGUCGUCGACCCCGACCGCCGUCGCAAGUCCGGUCGCGUCGGUGCUCAUGGACUUGCCAUGGUAGGCGAGAUCUGCGGCCAUGGUAGGCGAGAUCCAUGGUAGGCGAGAUCUGCGGCCCUUCCAUGGUAGGCGAGAUCUGCGGCCAUGGUCAAAGGGCCGUUGGGGCUGGAUUUCGCCGUCGCAACACCGAACUACUGGGUGCACAAGGGCAUUGCCUUCAUCUGCGAGAUCAGCAAAUGGAACCAGCGAAACAGAUAAAGGUCAUGAAAGGAUUCUAGAAACGAUCAACACAGUUGGACAUGACGGACCUCCUUGUGCGGCUCGCCGACACAUACGACGCAAGCCAUUGUCCGCCUCCAGCCCGACAUAGGUAGCAGCGGCGAUGACACCUCCUUCCAUCUGCAACAACCCAUGGAGGCCGACGGCGGUGCAUCUAGGGUAUGGAACAACGGUCGCGUGGAUGCCCCUACCCCUCAAGGCAUGUGAUCCACCCUGGCUCCCUCCCUGGAUGCAGCUAGCGCUCGCUGCGGGUGCCCGUGGACAAGCAAUCGCUCGGGAUGGCGGUGGAGGUGGAUGCGAGGUGGGAGCCCAUGGGGGCGCAGGAGUACUACGACUACUGGCGGGCCAUGUACAACGCCCGCGGAAACAGGUGAUCGCUCGGGAGUCGGGAUGGCAGAGGAGGUGGCUGAAUUAGUUUAUUAUAUCCUUUUGUUCAUAUUAAUUAGUUUGAAUUUUAUUUUUAUGGUCCUAUUUGUGCAGGUAAAUAUAUUUAGAGAUUGCUGAAAUUAUGUUAUGACCUUAUACUUCUUGUUUAUGCUUAAUUAUGUUUAUGCGAAGGUAUAUUAAAUGACAUAUGCUCCAAUGACUUCAUUGCCUACAGACUGAUAUUUUUCAGCAACUACAAUUACCGUGGAGUUGAUAUUGAAGGACGCCCGAUUAUGGUGGUUGUUGGUGCACAGUUCCUUUUUUAAUGCCUUGAUCUUUAAUGGUUUGUUCUACAUGUAGUGAUGGUACGGUAAUGUAUCAUGAUGUCCUAAAGCAUUUGAUCAAGUGUCAGUAUGCACUUUAUAAUCAUCUGGGGUGUGUAUAUCAUGUACAUUUGUAUAUCAAGUGUCCUGCUGCCCCACGCUCUAGAAUUUUUUUAGAGUAGGUCAUGCACAUUUGUAGAUCGACAACAACCAGCCUUGUCUCGAUGUUGUGCAGUGCUCGCAUCUUAGGUGCCUUGCCUGGAUGCUUUUGGUGAGAUGUGUGCUUGGAAAACUUCAGGUGCAUCGUCUGGUGAAGCAUGUGUGUCCAAAAGUGAAUAUUCAAAAAGAUAAUGGGGUGCAGAUGAAGAUUAUUGGUACUCAUGUCGAUGCUACAGAAAUUGUCUACGAUGAGGACUCCUACAAUAAGGUAUACAUAGACUGGACUACAGAUUUCAGUCUACCUUUUCUCCAGUGAACUUUCAUCUGAUUUCCCAAUAUUCCAUGACUUAUUCCUUGCAAGGUACGGUUUCAUUCUCUCAUGCACCAUCGUCUCUGUUCCCUUGUGAUGCAUGUAUCAUUCCGUCCUAGAAUUAAUUGCCAUUGCACACCUGUUGAGUUGAUCGCCACGUUUUGCAGGGCUUGUCAUGCUAUAUUUUUCCUUGACUACUAGAUACAAAAUGCUACAUGCUUACUCUGCCUUUUUUAUAAAAAAAGUGUCAUCGGAUUAUUAUGAUAUGUGAUUACUAACUACAUAUCAGAGGCUUAUAUUUCCAAUGCUUUUGAUGUUUUAUUUUUAAUUUAUAUCAGAAAUGUUAUUUGAUCUUACUGCAUGGUAGAUUUGUUUUCCUAUUGUGUGACCAUGAUACAAAGUCAUAAGCACUCCCUGUUGCUAUUAAUAUUUUUUUGUUUAACUGGAUGGCCUGUGCUAACCCACUAUAAUGGCUCAUUAGUUUUUUGUAGUAUGUACAGUGACACAAGAUUAAAAAUAGUGAUACAGGUCCCCCUCGCACUCCCUGUUGCUAUUAAUUUUUUUGUUCAUCAUUAAGGGGUACAACUUCCAAUGAAGAAAAGUUGCUUCAAUGAUGGAAAGAGUGCAUUGCAGCCAUUAAAUCAAGUAUAGGAUCUGUUGUGCUUCAUCUUAGAAAGUUGCCUAUCGGUCUUUGCAUGCACCACUCAUUGCUAUUUAAAGUAUGUUUUUUGUUUUAAGUUGUUUUCACAAUUUUCAUCUGUCCUGCUACGCCAUGGAAUCUUCAAGGGAAGAUUACUUUUUUCAUACUCUCAGCAACUUUUGCACUAUGGAAGAAAAAAUAUUUUUUAUUAGAGAUCACUAUUUAUGCCUGUUUGUAGCUUUUUUCUUCUUAUUAUUAUUUUUAAAUGGUGAUUGAAUUAUUGUAAUAAUAUAUGCCCAAGAAUACUGCAAGUUACAACAAACAAUGAAUUUAGGUGAUGCCGCCGUUCCAUUUUGCCAGAUUCAUGCUUCCACGCAAGUCCCCUCAACUCUGAAGGCAUGCCUAUUUCUAUAUCAUGUUUCCAUUUCAUCCUUGAACUCAUGGAAUCCAUCGAUGGUGUGGAAUUCAGUUUAAAAUUGGAAGUCAAUACUCCUCAGACAAGAAUAGACUUUCAAGAGGAAGGGGUCUGAUCUAGAUCCUCGAAGUUAUAUAUCUGGAAAACAGGCUCUUCAGAUAUCGAACCUCCUUUAUAUAAAUGUUGUUAAUCAGCUUCCAGCAUUUGUUUCAUUUGAGUUGUGUUUACUGCCUAGCUCUCCAUCCAACAAUUGAUAUCUUACUGACUGGUGGUCGAGAUUCAAUUUGCAGGGUAUGAUCUCUCUUGCAAUCACACCUUAUGAAAAAAAUCAUUGCAUUUAAUGGUCACUUGGUUUUGCUUGGGUUAUAUAUACAUGUGUGGGACAUCAGAACAAAAGUAUGUGUUUCUGCUUUAACAGGACAUGACAACAUUGUAUUUUCAGUGUUUGCUCGGCCUAUGGUAAGAAUGCAUUUUAACCUGUCAAGUUCACGAUUCACCACAAUAUUUUCGGCCAAAUGGUACACAAUAUUUCAUGAUGUAGUUUUAUUUGGAGUCACUCCCUCAGUUAACCAAUGGAUUAUUUGAAGCAGUGUCUCUGUUCUGUAGAUACUUUGCUUCUUUGAAAAUACCUGCCAUCGAUUGUUUUACUAAAGUUUAGAGUGUAAUAAUAAGGCAAAUGAGCAACCUUGAUAGAAUUCAUAUGCCAUCAGUAGUUUUACCAUUUAAGCUACACUAUUUUAAAAUAUAUUUUUGCUAUGGUAAGUACUCUUAUGUGUCCUGCUUUACUGUUCAUCCAUUCUCAAGUAUACUCUUUGAUCUUUUGAUAUGUGUGCAGGCCCAGAACAUCUGCAAUUUAUUUUUUGAUAAGUCCUCCAAGAUUUGGUUAGUUGCUUCAUGAUUUCUCUUUUUCUCUCUUAAUACUCUUUGAUCUUUUCUCCAAGAUUUGGGCAAUGAACAAACACGUUGAGUAUGAUAGUGAUGCUAAAAUUAUUGCAAUCGAUUGAAGCCCUACCAUGUGGCAACCAUUGAUCCAUGCCCAAAAUUUGCCUGCCACUGGUGUUCUUAUCCCAACACUCGAUCAACAUGCAAGUAGAAAUGAAGCCUAGAGCCAAACGAUGCGAGAGGAGUAUGGUCUAGACACGAGCCAGUUCACAUAAACCCUUCAGACCCAAGCAGGUACCAGCAGAAUGGCACGCCAGCUAAAGAAAGGUGUCAUGGUGUUGUUCAAACUUCGAGUGGUGUGUGGAAUAGAAGAAUCCCAAUUCCCAACCAUAUUAUUUGUCACGCUUGGUACAGGGGAAAUACGACAACAUCAUCGCGGCGGUGAAGAGCUACUACAUGUCGAUGAGCGGGUACACUACCAAUAGUGUCGGUGAAGAGCUACCAAUCUGAAUGAAUGGUUUCAAGUGUGAGAGUGAGCAAUGAGCUUGGUGCAAGACACCCAAAAUAUGCUUAUUUCUCAAUGUGGGCAGUGACUGCAAUCUCUAUACUAAUAUUUAUCAUUCUUGCCAUUGUGAUCCUCUACCUGUGCAACUACACCAGCUACAUGUUGCAUGUUCACAUAUGCACUUUUGUAUUAGUAAUAUCUCUUGUAUAGUGCUUUCCUCCUCAUUAUAUCCAUCAAAUAGAACUCAUUCCUCUCUCAAAUAGAAAUGAAAAAAUGAUUUUGUUUCCCUUUCCAAGUGGUUCA